rnacentral:rRNA from 1 species
AGUGAACGCUGGCGGCGUGCCUAAUACAUGCAAGUCGAACGCGAAAGUCCUUCGGGAUGAGUAAAGUGGCGCACGGGUGAGUAAUACAUGGGAACAUGCCCUUGGAUGGGGAAUAACGUUUGGAAACGAACGCUAAUACCGCAUAAUCUCGCGAGAGUAAAGGUGGCGCCGCAAGGGCUACCGUCCAAGGAUUGGCCCAUGUCCCAUUAGCUAGUUGGCGGGGUAAUGGCCCACCAAGGCAACGAUGGGUAACUGGUCUGAGAGGAUGAUCAGUCACGCUCGAACUGAGACACGGUCCAGACUCCUACGGGAGGCAGCAGUAGGGAAUAUUGCACAAUGGGGGAAACCCUGAUGCAGCAACGCCGCGUGAGUGAAGAAGGCCCUUGGGUUGUAAAGCUCUUUAGCGUGGGAAGAAGGUAGAUAUGGUGAAUAAUCAUGUUUGCUGACGGUACCACGAGAAUAAGCACCGGCUAAUUUCGUGCCAGCCGCCGCCGUAA